rnacentral:misc_RNA from 1 species
AACCAUAGAAACCUGCGGAGUACCUGCGGAAGGAUCAUUACAAAUCCAUUUCACAUUCAAUGGCGCUGUCGAAGCGACGUCGGGGCGUGUGGGUCGCGCAGGGGAGCGACGCCACACCAUACCCAACAUUAAUUAUACGAUGACUUUUAUGGACAAACGACACAUUGUCAUGUUCAUCAUCAUCUCUCCAUGAUAUGAUGUACAUAAUAAACAACCACAACUUUCAACAACGGAUCUCAG